rnacentral:rRNA from 1 species
CCUACGGGUGGCUGCAGUGAGGAAUAUUGGUCAAUGGACGCUAGUCUGAACCAGCCAUGCCGCGUGCAGGAUGACUGCUCUAUGAGUUGUAAACUGCUUUUGUAUGAGGAUAAACAGCAGUAUGUGUAGUGGCUUGCAAGUAUAAUAUGAAUAAGGAUCGGCUAACUCCGUGCCAGCAGCCGCGGUAAUACGGAGGAUCCAAGCGUUAUCCGGAUUUAUUGGGUUUAAAGGGUGCGUAGGCGGUUUGAUAAGUUAGAGGUGAAAUACCGGGGCUCAACCCCGGUACUGCGUCUAAUACUGGUGAUCUAGAGAGUACUUGCGGUAGGCGGAAUGCAUGGUGUAGCGGUGAAAUGCUUAGAGAUCAUACAGAACCCCGAUUGCGAAGGCAGCUUACCAAUCUAUAUCUGACGUUGAGGCACGAAAGCGUGGGUAGCGAACAGGAUUAGAUACCCGAGUAGUC